AACGAACGCUGGCGGCAGGCUGAACACAUGCAAGUCGAACGAGAUCUCCGGAUCUAGUGGCAGACGGGUGAGGAACACGUGGGAACAUCCCUUUCAGUUCGGAAUAACGUUGGGAAACUAACGCUAAUACCGGAUACGUCCUUCGGGAGAAAGAUUUAUCGCUGAAAGAUUGGCCCGCGUCUGAUUAGCUAGUUGGUGAGGUAAUGGCUCACCAAGGCUACGAUCAGUAGCUGAUCUGAGAGGAUGAUCAGCCACAUUGGGACUGAGACACGGCCCAAACUCCUACGGGAGGCAGCAGUGGGGAAUAUUGGACAAUGGGCGCAAGCCUGAUCCAGCCAUGCCGCGUGAGUGGUGAAGGCCUUCGGGUUGUAAAGCUCUUUUAUCCGGGAAGAUAAUGACUGUACCGGAAGAAUAAGCCCCGGCAAACUUCGUGCCAGCCGCCGCUGUAA
rnacentral:rRNA from 1 species